UCGGAGUGCUUGCACUCUGUGAAACAAGAUACAGGCUAGCGGCGGACGGGUGAGUAACACGUGGGUAACCUGCCCAAGAGAUCGGGAUAACACCUGGAAACAGAUGCUAAUACCGGAUAACAACAGAUGAUGCCUAUCAACUGUUUAAAAGAUGGUUCUGCUAUCACUCUUGGAUGGACCUGCGGUGCAUUAGCUAGUUGGUAGGGUAACGGCCUACCAAGGCGAUGAUGCAUAGCCGAGUUGAGAGACUGAUCGGCCACAUUGGGACUGAGACACGGCCCAAACUCCUACGGGAGGCAGCAGUAGGGAAUCUUCCACAAUGGACGCAAGUCUGAUGGAGCAACGCCGCGUGAGUGAAGAAGGGUUUCGGCUCGUAAAGCUCUGUUGUUGGUGAAGAAGGACAGGGGUAGUAACUGACCUUUGUUUGACGGUAAUCAAUUAGAAAGUCACGGCUAACUACGUGCCAGCAGCCGCGGUAAUACGUAGGUGGCAAGCGUUGUCCGGAUUUAUUGGGCGUAAAGCGAGUGCAGGCGGCUCGAUAAGUCUGAUGUGAAAGCCUUCGGCUCAACCGGAGAAUUGCAUCAGAAACUGUCGAGCUUGAGUACAGAAGAGGAGAGUGGAACUCCAUGUGUAGCGGUGAAAUGCGUAGAUAUAUGGAAGAACACCGGUGGCGAAGGCGGCUCUCUGGUCUGUUACUGACGCUGAGGCUCGAAAGCAUGGGUAGCGAACAGGAUUAGAUACCCUGGUAGUCCAUGCCGUANACGAUGAGUGCUAAGUGUUGGGAGGUUUCCGCCUCUCAGUGCUGCAGCUAACGCAUUAAGCACUCCGCCUGGGGAG
rnacentral:rRNA from 1 species